GAUGAACGCUGGCGGCGUGCCUAACACAUGCAAGUCGAGCGAGAAGUAAAUAACGGACACUUUCGGGUUGAAGAUAUUUAUGGAAAGCGGCGGACGGGUGAGUAACGCGUGGGUAACCUGCCCUAUACAUGGGGAUAGCCACUAGAAAUGGUGAUUAAUACCUGGUAGGCAUAAUAAAGGCAUCUUUAUUAUGAGAAAGAUUUAUUGGUAUAGGAUGGGCCCGCGUCUGAUUAGCUAGUUGGUGGGGUAAAAGCCUACCAAGGCAAUGAUCAGUAGCCGACCUAAGAGGGUGAACGGCCACACUGGAACUGAGAGACGGUCCAGACUCCUACGGGAGGCAGCAGUGGGGGAUAUUGCACAAUGGGGGAAACCCUGAUGCAGCAACGCCGCGUGAGUGAUGAAAUUUUUCGAAAUGUAAAACUCCGUCCUAUGGGAAGAAAAAAAUGACGGUACCAUAGGAGGAAGCCCCGGCUAACUACGUGCCAGCAGCCGCGGUAAUAUGUAGGGGGCAAGCGUUAUCCGGAAUCAUUGGGCGUAAAGCGUGCGUAGGCGGCUAGGAAGGUCAGAGGUGAAAGGCAUGGGCUUAACCUGUGUAAGCCUUUGAAACCGACUAGCUUGAGUACAGGAGGGGAAAGUGGAAUUUCUAGUGUAGCGGUGAAAUGCGUAGAUAUUAGAAAGAACACCAGUGGCGAAGGCGACUUUCUGGACUGUAACUGACGCUAAGGCACGAAAGCGUGGGUAGCGAACAGG
rnacentral:rRNA from 1 species